GUACUGAGACACGGACCCGACUCCUACGGGAGGCAGCAGUAAGGAAUAUUGGUCAAUGGGCGAAAGCCUGAACCAGCCAUGCCGCGUGAAGGAUGAAGGCGUUAUGCGUUGUAAACUUCUUUUGUAUAGGAAGAAUGGUCGGGAUUCAUCCCGAAAGCGACGGUACUAUACGAAUAAGCACCGGCUAACUCCGUGCCAGCAGCCGCGGUAAUACGGAGGGUGCGAGCGUUAUCCGGAAUCACUGGGUUUAAAGGGUACGUAGGCGGUUAAUUAAGUCAGCAGUGAAAGCCUGUCGCUCAACGACGGAUGUGCUGUUGAAACUGGUUAACUUGAAAUGGGUUAGGGUUGGCGGAAUGGGUCAUGUAGCGGUGAAAUGCUUAGAUAUGACUUGGAACACCGAAAGCGAAGGCAGCUGACCGAACCUUGUUUGACGCUGAGGUACGAAAGUGUGGGUAGCGAACAGGAUUAGAUACCCUGGUAGUCCACACCCUAGACUAUGCAGACUGGAUGUUGGGCGGCAAUAGUUCAGCAUCUGAGGGAAACCAUUAAGUCUGCCACCUGGGGAGUACGCCGGCAACGGUGAGACUCAAAGGAAUUGACGGGGGUCCGCACAAGCGGUGGAGUAUGUGGUUUAAUUCGAUGAUACGCGAGGAACCUUACCUGGGCUCGAAUGUUACCGCUAACCUGUUGAAAG
rnacentral:rRNA from 1 species